UACGGAGGGGGCUAGCGUUGUUCGGAAUUACUGGGCGUAAAGCGCAUGUAGGCGGCAGCGCAAGUCGGGCGUGAAAUCCCACGGCUCAACCAAGGAAGUGCAUCCGAAACUGCUGAGCUUGAGUACGAAAGAGGAUCGCGGAAUUCCCGGUGUAGAGGUGAAAUUCGUAGAUAUCGGGAGGAACACCAGUGGCGAAGGCGGCGAUCUGGGUCGAUACUGACGCUGAGGUGCGAAAGCGUGGGGAGCAAACAGG
rnacentral:rRNA from 1 species